rnacentral:tRNA from 1 species
UUAAUUGAAACCAAAAUAGAGGUAAAUUAUUGUUAAUAAUUAUAUUGAAAUUAUUUUCCAAUUAAU